UACGGAGACUACAAGCGUUACUCGGAUUUACUGGGCGUAAAGGGCGCGUAGGCGGCGUGUUAAGUCAGCUGUGAAAUCUCCAAGCUCAACUUGGAACGGCCAGCUGAUACUGAUGUGCUAGAGUGCAGAAGGGGCAAUCGGAAUUCUUGGUGUAGCGGUGAAAUGCGUAGAUAUCAAGAGGAACACCUGAGGUGAAGACGGGUUGCUGGGCUGACACUGACGCUGAGGAGCGAAAGCGUGGGGAGCGAACAGG
rnacentral:rRNA from 1 species